rnacentral:rRNA from 1 species
UACGUAGGGGGCUAGCGUUGUCCGGAAUCAUUGGGCGUAAAGAGCGUGUAGGCGGUCCGGUAAGUCCGCUGUGAAAGUCGGGGGCUCAACCCUCGAAUGCCGGUGGAUACUGUCGGGCUAGAGUGCGGAAGAGGCGAGUGGAAUUCCCGGUGUAGCGGUGAAAUGCGCAGAUAUCAGGAGGAACACCUAUUGCGAAGGCAGCUCGCUGGGACGUUACUGACGCUGAGACGCGAAAGCCAGGGGAGCAAACGGG